ACAUGACGGACAAGUCCGAGACAUGUGACUUUUGGUCAGGGGUGGGGGGUCUUGAUUGAACCCGUCUUUGUCUGGAAGUGCAAGAAUAAGAACCUGCAGUUAAUCCGAUCUCCUCUUCGGACGAUACGCAUUGUUGGAGGGUGAUCGCGUGCCGCCAUGUCUGAUGAAGAAGAAGUGGUCGUGGAGAUCCUAAGAAGCUGCUCCACAAGUAGAAGGUAAUUGUCUUUUAAAAAAAUGCAUAUAAAUAUUUUUAACACUAUAAUC
rnacentral:lncRNA from 1 species